AGAUUUCAACUAUUAAGAACCAUACUACAACAGAGUAUUAGUUCUGGCUGUAAACAGAGUAUUAGUUCAGACUGUAAACAGAGUAUUAGUGCUGGCUGUAAACAGAGUAUUAGUUCAGACUGUAAACAGAGUAUUAGUUCAGACUGUAAACAGAGUAUUAGGUCUGGCUGUAAACAGAGUAUUAGCUCUGGCUGUAAACAGAGUAUUAGUUCAGACUGUAAACAGAGUAUUAGUUCAGACUGUAAACAGAGUAUUAGCUUCGGCUGUAAACAGAGUAUUAGCUCCGGCUGUAAACAGAGUAUUAGGUCUGGCUGUAAACAGAGUAUUGGGUCUGGCUGUAAACAGAGUAUUAGGUCUGGCUGUAAACAGAGUAUUGGGUCUGGCUGUAAACAGAGUAUUAGUUCCGGCUGUAAACAGAGUAUUAGCUCUGGCUGUANNNNNNNNNNCAGAAUGUCAGUGGAAGGGAGGACAGUAAACAGGAGACACUAUGAGCCGAACAUAACAGUCAGUAGAAGAGAGGACAGUAACAGGAGACACUGAGCUGAACAUAACAGAAUGUCAGUGGACUGGAGGACAGUAGCAGGGGAUCCAACUGUGGUUUGUGACUACUAUGAAUACCCACUGUGAACUUUCAUUAUCCUCCCUCAUCAGGAGGGAGAGAAAUUAGAAAAUAUAUUCAAGAUAUUUCUGUCAUUAAGAUAAUACAUAAUCAACUUUAUUUUUCAUGAGAUUCCUCUUGGUUUUCAGUGAUGAUAACAUGUAUACUUUCCUAUUUUCCAAAAGACACAUGAAAGACUCAUCUUUUGGAAACACACACACACACACACACACACACACCAGACCGCCUAGCCAAAAUACCAGAGAGAAAGAGUGACAAAGAGAUUGAGUGUAUGUUAAGGAGAAAAUUAGACAUUUCUAAGAAAACUAAAAUCCUAUGUUAUGCCUCAAAAACAGCCAGACGGGAGUGGCUUUCAACGGUCUAUGGAGGAUGCAUACGAAAGAACCUCAUCCAAGUUCAGAGCUCCUUUUGGGGGUUCCUCCUAAAAGAGAAGCUAUAUUUACCAUGUGUGAAGUGUAGCUCCUAGUUAACACCCAACAGUAUGAAAAGAGGGAUUUAGGAAAACGUACUGUCUGGAAAAACAGUCAGUCAUCUCAGCCUAUGGUUCCCACCCCCUUUCAAAAAUGGGACCCAGCCAGGGGUGUCUUAACGACUGCCGUUGCUCCAGGAGGUGAAGAGACAUUACUGUUCACAAUUAGUUCAUUGUUACGUUUAUGGCUCGUCACCACACACACACAAAAAAAAGGUGAGUCGAGGUAUUCCUUUUCAUUUAAUAUGCGUUGCUUUUCAUUCUAACAGGUAGGCUUAGACACCAUCUGUUCAAACCUCAGGCUUCAACCUUCUCUCAAUGCAUCAGAGACAACUUACAAUUCAAAUAGGAAAAUAACACCGACUGGGCUGUUGAAAUAAUUUGAUCAAAUUGCUUUAGGAGGGUUUUUAUUUUCCCUUCAUGAGAAACGGAAUAUCGUCUGACACAUUGGAGGUAUUUGGCGUAUAAGCGAUUUGGACAGGUGGAUAAAGAAUACAAGAGCUUGUGGCUUUAGGUGCAAAAAAAUCAAGCUGGAAUGUAGCCUAUAUGUUGUGGAAAGAGGAAUUAAUGAAGUGAAAUGUUUAAGAUCUUAGUCAUGUUUCAAAUCCUACAAUAUAAAAGUGUAAUGGGAAGGUCUAAAAGGAGGGAAAUGUUCCUGCACAUGGUGGAUAUUUAUGCAGCUAGUUCAACAUGUGGCAUCUUGAAAUAUAGUAAUAAUAUCAUAUUUGACCAUUUCAUAUGAAGCAGAUUAUACCAAGUAUGGUUUCAUCUAAUUUCUGCCAUCAUGAGACUGAUAAGAGAAGCACAAUGAAGAGGCUCUUCAACUGGAUCAGACAGCUCAAUGACCAGGCUCUUCAACAGCACAUAAAUAGAACUACUUUAUCUAUGUUAAUCACAGAUACACUACUCACAUCCCCAUCUUGGGUUUUACAGUCUGUUGAGUGUUCGCCUACAUCUGUGUGUGCAUGUCACAUACCAUUAGCCUGACCACUCAAACUCAAUUCUUCCACUGCUCUGUCAUUCGCUACAUACUUUAGUCUGAGACCGUCAUUGAAGUCAUUUGUGGUGACGAGGAGCGCGUUUUAAAAAACAAAGUAAAUCAGCAAUUGGACCGUCUCUAACCAAUCAAAAGUCAAUGAUGAAUUUUCUAAUUACUGCUUUACCCACGUGUGUUCUGGCUCCGCCCCAACCAAUUGUUUUUUUGGACCAAUCAGACGGCCCCGAAUGCGUUGGUAUUCGGUGAAGGGUCGGAGAGGUACUCAGAUCCAGACUCAUUGAGGAGAAGAAACUAACGUCUGUGGACGUGGUGUAGUGUUUGGCCCGGAGCAAGGAGUCUGAAUAACCAGGCAAACAUGCCAUUGUUCUGUCAUUUGUUGUGGGUCUCUGUUGACAUGGCUUACAGGCCCUGGGCUGAGGACAGAAGUGUACUGGUCCAUUAAACUCCAGCCUCAAUGCUGGGAUACAGACGUGUAGUACUGCAUGUCCCCUUGCUUUUGCCUCCUUAAUAGUUCAAGCCUGUCAUCGCUCUCCGCUACACCUCUUCUUCUGUGGACAAUAAUACAAGACAUUGUGAUCUUAAAAUCUAAUCUGCAAACAAAAGUGUGAUAUAAUGAUACAACGUCCUAUAAAAUAGUUUAGAAUGUCAGAAUCAGUAGCUGUCUGGUUCAGGGGCGACUCAGGGUUAUAGGACUAGUUAUAGCUAUGCUCUAUUUUCACAAGCGCGGUCAUUCAUGGAAAGGAGAACUCUCAUUCUACAAACGUGUUUAUCCUACCAAGAGAUAACCAUAAUUAGGGGUGUUUGCUGAAGGCAAAGCAUGACUAGAUUUCUUUCAUAAGCUAGGUAUCCGUCAUCUAGCUAGGUAUCCGUCAUCUAACUAGGUAUCCAUCAUCUAGCUAGGUAUCCAUCAUCUAGCUAGGUAUCCAUCAUC
rnacentral:lncRNA from 13 species